AUAUAUUCUAGCAUUUUUAAUCUAUAUAAUAUUCAUCUGAAUAAUAACUAUCUGAAUUAUUUCUACCAUAGAAAUCUAUAUUUUCUAAUUCAUCUUCUAUUCAAUUAGUACUUAGUAACUCAUCUUCAAAAUCAAAUAUUUUUUCCCAUAUUAUUUUCUUUAUGUCUUCUAAUUCUAAGUCUUUUAUGAUAUAUAAAACAAGUAUCUUAGUUUCAUCAGAUAUAUAACUUGUCAUAUUAUUCAUAUUAUGCUUAGGUUUCUACGAAUAACUUGGAUAACUUGGAAUUGGAUUCUAGUAAUUAAAUGUUUUAUCAUAGUAUUUA
rnacentral:lncRNA from 1 species